UACCCUAUUCUUCUCUAUUGUUGAAAACAGAAAGUGGGACUCCAUCCUCUGUUCCUCAACUUCUCAUUCCAGCACCUUCCUCCCUCUUUGAUUUCACUCUCCAUUUUCGUUCCAUCAUCUUUUCACUCUUCACUCAAGCUUUUAUUUCACUGUAUUUGGAACUUUGAAAGUGGGUAUUUGAGACUCUUCUCAUCUCUUGGGUAGUGCUAUUUAGAGAUUCAUUGAGGUAAAAUUUUCAACCCAAUGAUUCAGAAAUCUGUUUUUGUGGCAUGAAUUAGUAGUGGGUGUUAUCAUAGCAUAGUAGGAAAUCAGGUGUUUGUGUUAUUUUCAUGAUUUCCUCUAAAACCCUAAGUCUCAUAAAUUGGGGGUUUUGCCUAAUCUCUUUUGGUACCCAUUAUUGAUGUGUAGAUUCACGGGGUGACGAUUCUCUUGGUCCAACGGAGGGCACGGGAAGAGAUUGAGCUAGCUCUUCAUAGUUGUGAGUGUAUAGUUUAUAAAGUGGGAGAAGUAAAAAUAUUUUAAGUUUCAUGUACUUUAUGCAUAUUAAACCUUACGUUUUUUUAGUUUCAUUCUAUACUCGAACUGUAUGAGAUGAUUAGUGAUUAAGUUCUUUUUUAAAUAUCCCUUCCUUUUAAAAUAUGAAGUCCCUGGCCCUUGAGCAUUCGUUUUCUUUUAAAAAGAAAACUCUAUUUGACAUGACAUGCUUUUGCCUCAAUACAAACUUUGAUGAUUAUAGAAUUUCAAGAAGUUAAUUUUGAUGACUAGGUGUAACUGUUUUACUCAAAUCCAUAGACAGAAGAUUCUUUCUAGUGCUUCCCAUUGAGAACUUGGAGCAUUAAUACAUGUCAUACGUUUAGUAUUUGAGUUUGCUUGUAAAUUAAGUUUUUGUUAAACCUUAUGUUUUGGAAUGUGAUGAGUUCUAUUUUAGAAAGUCGUUCGUCGCAACGAAGAGAUAAUGCGACAUAUGUACCGUUCGUCGCAACGAAGAGAUAAUGCGACCUAUGCUCUUUAUGUCAUAGUAUAAUACCGUUCGUCACAACGAAGAGAUAAUGUGACUAUGCAAAUUCGUGCUUUUUUAGUAGCGUACCGUUUGUCGCAACGAAGAGACAAUGCGGCCUAUAUGCAUAUAGUUUGUGGAGGUGAUUGUUGUUAAAUGAUGAAGGUUGAAGUUGCUUCCCAAUUUUUGUUAUUCCGUUAUUGAAUUUAAAGCUUGUGUGAAAGUGUAUGGAGCUUUCAGAGAUUUAUAAAAAAGUCCAAGAGGAUAUUGAUUUAAAGUUUCUUAUGUAUAUAUAUGAUAUACCAAAAAUCUGGUUUUAAUGAUCGUGCCUUAAGUGCUUCUCUUUUCCGCGCAUUUUAUUUAUUAUGCCUCACUAAGUCUUUGUGACUUACCCCCUUAUUAUUUCCAAUUUUUUUUAGAUUCACAAGCAGCUGAGUAACAGAUUUCUGGGCUUUGCUGUUGUUUUGGUAUGCCUCCAUUGUGCGGUGGCUAGUAUAUUCUUUUUGGUCGACUCCAGUAUGAUGCAGCCAUAGGGAUAGAGAGUCGUUUACUUACUUUGAGUUGUAAUUAUUAAACUCACUAUGUUAGCACUUUGUUGGGUUUGCACUCUUAAAACCCUAUGACAGAAGCACUAUGUUGAAGGGUUUGUGGCGGCUAAAGAGCAAGUAAGUGUCGUCGAUCCUGACUUUGACCUUUCACGAAUUGGAUUUCUGAAGAAGAUUCAAGAUGGCCAAGUUAUUGGCCAUGAUGACAUCGAUCUUGACCUUCUUCCAAAGUUUGAUUCUGAGAGCGAGUUAGGAAGACGAUGAGGAUGGUGAUGAUGAUGGGCGGGAUCCCAAUGCAUCUUUGAACAAGGAGACGGCCAAUGAUGACCAGACCCCUGCCUGAUUUAUUUUUGUGAAAUGUCUUUUGGUAAUUGGGCCCUGCCCGUCCUUGAACGGACCUUUAUUUUCAUCAUAGUAGAUCCUAAAUCAUACAACUAAGGCUCUCAUAGCACAUGUCAAGAUUAUGAUUCAUAAUACUCAAUAUAAAAGGAACAUCAGUCAUUCACAUAAAAUCAUAGUUGCAUGAAUUAAGAACACCAAUAAAUUUAAGAUAAUGAAUGAUGACAUACCUCAUGUAUCCAUUGUUUCUUGACUUGAUAUUGGAAGCCUUCUUGUUCUACUCGGAUGUCUUGAUUGGUAAGAUAAGAUCUUCCUCCCCU
rnacentral:lncRNA from 1 species